rnacentral:miRNA from 1 species
AAGGAACACUCGUUCUAAUUGCCUGGGCUGGGGGCAGGCUGCCACCUCCCAGGGACAGGGGAUUGGGGCAGGAUGUUCCAG